GAUGAACGCUGGCGGCGUGCCUAACACAUGCAAGUCGAACGGAGUUAUGCAGAGGAAGUUUUCGGAUGGAAUCGGCGUAACUUUAGUGGCGGACGGGUGAGUAACGCGUGGGAAACUGCCUGUACCGGGGAUAACACUUAGAAAUAGGUGCUAAUACCGCAUAAGCGCACAGCUUCACAUGAAGCAGUGUGAAAACUCCGGUUGGUACAGGAAUGGUCCCGCGUCUGAUUAGCCAGUUGGCA
rnacentral:rRNA from 1 species